GGAGGAGGUAAUCUUCAUUACAUAAUCUUCACUGAAAUCUUCAUUAGCAAAGGGAAAACCUGAGGGAGUGUCAUGGGACGGUAAAAAGAACCCUGAAUUUGCUGUCAGAAGAGCUGGAUUCAAUUCCUGAUUCUACCACUUACAUGGCCUCAGGCUGGGAUCCCAAGCACAGCUGCUGUGUUUCCCUUCAGAGAUAAUCCUGAGUUUGUCGGUGCUGCUCAGGGCCUGGAAUCUUGGACAAUGUUGCCCUUUUCUAUAUUUAUAAGAGGCCCACUUAUCUGUCUGGAUAGUUAAGGCAGGCUAUGCUUAGAAGCAGAGAUGCCCUCCUCCUUGGCCUCCCACUUCAGCCUCCAGCUAAAGAAGUUAUGGUUAUCAGUGGCAGCCUCAUGGAUGGUCUCUAACUUCAUAGUAAUGAGACAACUGAAGAUGCCUUAAUAAAAGGUGUGACCCUGCUCCACUGGGCAGCUCCCUGAUUGCACUACCUGAUUGUCAACCUAUAUUUUUCCCUGAGUGGGGCAAGGGCAGUAUGACCCAGUAGCUUAACAAAAAUUAAAAAGAAAUAAUUAAAGAAAAAGAUGAAACCCAGCAUUCAAUUUAACCAAUCGAUAACCAACCAAUUCCCUCUUUUACCAUUUUCCCUCUUUGAGCUGCUGAGCAGUAAACAGCACAACUGAAAUAUAGCAUCUGUUCCUAUUGAAAACAACAGAGAGCAGAGGAGUGACAGUAGCAUUCUUAAAAUGAUAAGCAGCAUCUAAAACCAUCAGCA